rnacentral:rRNA from 1 species
ACAUGCAAGUCGAACGGCAGCGCGGGGCAACCUGGCGGCGAGUGGCGAACGGGUGAGUAAUAUAUCGGAACGUACCCAAGAGUGGGGGAUAACGUAGCGAAAGUUACGCUAAUACCGCAUACGAUCCAAGGAUGAAAGCAGGGGAUCUUCGGACCUUGUGCUCCUGGAGCGGCCGAUAUCUGAUUAGCUAGUUGGUGAGGUAAAGGCUCACCAAGGCCACGAUCAGUAGCUGGUCUGAGAGGACGACCAGCCACACUGGAACUGAGACACGGUCCAGACUCCUACGGGAGGCAGCAGUGGGGAAUUUUGGACAAUGGGCGAAAGCCUGAUCCAGCAAUGCCGCGUGAGUGAAGAAGGCCUUCGGGUUGUAAAGCUCUUUUGUCAGGGAAGAAACGGUGAGGGCUAAUAUCCUUCGCUAAUGACGGUACCUGAAGAAUAAGCACCGGCUAACUACGUGCCAGCAGCCGCGGUAAUACGUAGGGCGCAAGCGUUAAUCGGAAUUACUGGGCGUAAAGCGUGCGCAGGCGGUUUUGUAAGUCUGACGUGAAAUCCCCGGGCUCAACCUGGGAAUUGCGUUGGAGACUGCAAGGCUAGAAUCUGGCAGAGGGGGGUAGAAUUCCACGUGUAGCAGUGAAAUGCGUAGAGAUGUGGAGGAACACCGAUGGCGAAGGCAGCCCCCUGGGUCAAGAUUGACGCUCAUGCACGAAAGCGUGGGGAGCAAACAGGAUUAGAUACCCUGGUAGUCCACGCCCUAAACGAUGUCUACUAGUUGUCGGGUUUUAAUUAACUUGGUAACGCAGCUAACGCGUGAAGUAGACCGCCUGGGGAGUACGGUCGCAAGAUUAAAACUCAAAGGAAUUGACGGGGACCCGCACAAGCGGUGGAUGAUGUGGAUUAAUUCGAUGCAACGCGAAAA